CAAACACACACCCUUGGCUCAACGAAGACGUCCCAUUGCAAAUACCGUCUCUCUCUCUCUCUCUCUCUCUCUCUCUCUCUACGCCGACCCACCAAUCUCACUGCUCUCUCACCACACCCACCCACCAAGCUCGAUCGAGUUGUGUUACGGCUCGAAUGGCGGCGAUUGGGUUCCUUCCCGGACUGUCCACAACCGAGUCGAAUCAACUCGCAAUUGAAGGGCUACUUUCGUCUUGGUUCGAAAAUCACAGCUGAUACAAAUGGCAUACAUACAAUCAGUGCAAGGAAGAUUAUUAUAGACUAAACAAAAGGGAGAUGGGUUGUCUGAUGCUUCAUCAGUGUGAAGCUUCAUCCAGAGUGAUACUUCUUUUUCAUAAUCCAUGCCUUCCUUUUAUGGUGUCAUUCAGCCUAUGUGCGGUGAAUGUCAAUAAUUAUCAAUAUUUAGGUUCUUGAGAUGUUUUGUAUGUUUUUAUAGGUUAUACAGCCUUUGCUAUAUAUAUUUAGAAGCAGGGGAAAAAGAUUCUACGUGUUGCUAUGUUUAGGUUCUUGAGUUGUUAUAUACAGAUGUGUGUGAUUUUUUGUUGUUGUACCUCUUUACUUAUAUUCUAUCCCAGGAAAACAAACAUUCAAAUUGAUUUUUUCAAAUGGUUUGCGCUUUUCUGGCUUCUCAGGCCAAAUGGUGAUCUCAGAAGUUCAAGUGCUUCUUUUGCGCACUUCAAUUGGUGUUGGAUAGGGGAACGUAAUGCUGUGAUUCGUAGUGAUAAGGCUCCAACUAGGCCAUGCCUUUGUUUUCCGUAAAAUACGUUCCGAGCAUUUGUAAAAUUGUAGCAUAUUCGAUGUUUAAGUUGUGUUCAAAGUAUAUAAGGAAAACAAAGAAGCAGCCUUGGCUAGGCUACAAAGGAGUAAAUAAAAGGGUCAUUAACGAAACGCAUCCAAAGUCCUCUUGGACUUGAUUGGUUUUUGAUGAUGGUACUUUUGUAGUUAUUAGGAAAUGGGAAAGUGCAAAUGGUAAGAGCAGGAUUUUUUUUUUAGGGCUAUAAGACUUUUGCAAGUAGUUAUGUGAAGAGAUCCGUGUUUAGCACUUUUAGUAAAAAUUGGAAAAUGCCCUUCAAGUUACAAAAUUGCUGGAGGUAGUUAUUUGCUUCAUUAAGCCCAACUCAACAUACUUCUUUAUCUUUUCUGGAGGCGUAAAAGAAAUUGGUACCAAUUUCAUUCCAAAAGGUGGAUAAAUGAUUUAAAUGGUGUAACUGGUAGAUAAGCAAAUUGAGGAUGUGCUGAACGCAAAAAUUUACUCCACGGUCAAGUUUUGCUGGAGGUAGUUAUUUGCUUCAUUAAGCCCAACUCAACAUACUUCUUUAUCUUUUCUAGAGGAGUAAAAGAAAUUGGUACCAAUUUCAUUCCAAAAGGUGGAUAAAUGAUUUAAAUGGUGUAACUGGUGGAUAAGCAAAUUGAGGAUGUGCUAAACGCAAAAAUCUACUCCACGGUCAAGUUUUGAAGACGCCUACGCCUCUUAUAUGAGAGGGAACUUUUUGUUUGAGCAAGAUCAAAAUAGGGACGUGGCAUUAAAGAGUUUCAAGAAUGCCAGGUACUUCCCAAUCCCUAUCAUCUUACAUUUGCUGCUUUAUAAUGCGAAAUGAGGCGACUGUGUAUAAGUUAUUUGAAAAGGACAAUGGGAACGAAAACUAGAUAUCAGGUUAAACAUUUUCUCUUUUAAUUUACUGGCAUAUCCUUUUGCAUGUUUUGGGGGCUUCACCAAAAUCUUUCUUCCACUUCUCAAUUGGUUUUUUAGAUUGCUGUUUAAUUGGAAAAUCUAUCGAACUGAAUUUUUCAUAGAUAUAUGUCCAAAAUUCUAUUCUGGUACCACAACAUUAGGCCAUACUUAAAUAGAAGUAAUGCUCUGCUUCCGUUGUUGGUUUUGUUACGAUUCUUUUCACAUGUUUUGUGACAAUUUUUUCACAUGUUUUCUCCGUUUCAUGCUUAUUUCGAAAUGAUUGGUUAGAGUUGGGAGAAGAACUGGACUUUGGGGACGAAGACGACGCUCCAUUUUGCUUUGCUACGUUUUUUGUUUUAAGCCCAAUGCAUUCUGGACACUUUUUCUAUGAAAUAUUGUUGGGUUUGUAGCGUUCUACAUUUCGAUGUCUUGCUUUUCAGUUCCAUUUCUUUCUUCUCUUCUUUUCCAUAUGGUUUCUUUCUAAGACUUGUGCCUGUGUGGGGGUUGAAGCCAUGCAAGAGAAUCUAGCUAAGAUGAAGCAGUUUGUGUUGAGCACGAUCAGCCAAUUACCUCAACAAGCAACUGAAGUGGUGGAAAUGACUGAAUUGGAUAGCAGCUCCUGUGCUCCUUUGACACUAAGAUUGCCCUGGAAUCAAUCCGUUUUGUGAAUGGCAUUUUUAGGUAGACCAAUAUGAAUUCAAGUAGAAUUUCAAUACUGUUGCACUCCUCAUAUUUCAGACCUUUGAAGUUGAACCAUUUUCAGAAUUUCAAUACACACUACUUGACCAAGAAAAAAAAUUGCACUCUCCUUGCUAAUUCAUUUUAGGUGUUCAAAAAUGUAUUGCGUCGUGCCUUCAGGCACGGGUUAUCCGCUAGUAUAUAUAUAAAUUAGCAUAAUUGUAAAAGUAUGCUAAUAUAUAAACAUACACACUUGCAUA